rnacentral:rRNA from 1 species
AUUGAACGCUGGCGGCAGGCCUAACACAUGCAAGUCGAGCGGAUGAAGGGAGCUUGCUCCUGGAUUCAGCGGCGGACGGGUGAGUAAUGCCUAGGAAUCUGCCUGGUAGUGGGGGAUAACGUCCGGAAACGGGCGCUAAUACCGCAUACGUCCUGAGGGAGAAAGUGGGGGAUCUUCGGACCUCACGCUAUCAGAUGAGCCUAGGUCGGAUUAGCUAGUUGGUGGGGUAAAGGCCUACCAAGGCGACGAUCCGUAACUGGUCUGAGAGGAUGAUCAGUCACACUGGAACUGAGACACGGUCCAGACUCCUACGGGAGGCAGCAGUGGGGAAUAUUGGACAAUGGGCGAAAGCCUGAUCCAGCCAUGCCGCGUGUGUGAAGAAGGUCUUCGGAUUGCAAAGCACUUUAAGUUGGGAGGAAGGGCAGUAAGUUAAUACCUUGCUGUUUUGACGUUACCAACAGAAUAGGCACCGGCUAACUUCGUG